rnacentral:lncRNA from 1 species
AUUGGAUCACGCCUUCCACUACUGUAGAUGGACAGAAGUCAUCAUAUUCUGCACAGUCUCUCAAUAGCAUUUGAGAGUUAAUAUGCACCACUCAAAUUUAGUAGGAUUCAUCAGAGCAAUGGCUUAAUCCUAAAAUUUUAUUUUGUGUUUUAAUUGUCAAAUAUCCAUUGGAUUCAGGGAGAAUUUGUCUGGAUAAAGUCUAAGACUGGAAAAACAACGGGUAACGUCCAGGAUUAGAGACAAAAAAUGUUUGUAAGUUGAUUGUUUAUCAAGCUUUUCAAUGUCAAGCUUUGUUGACAUUGUUUGCUGUUGUUGUUUUUUUUUAAAGUUAUUGUAGUCAGUGAACAGUCCUUGGACAAUGAAAAAAUGCAAAUCCCUCCAGAGAUCCAGAUUAUUUUUGAAGGAGAAAACCAAAAACUUUUCCAGCUCUUUUUCUUAAAGCAUAAUCUGUUCCAACACAAAGAUGUCUUCAAGAGCUACUAAUAUAGGUUUGGUAAAAACAUUUCAAGUCCAGGACAAAAGAUACUGGAGACUGGAGUACAACUUUUGGUACACGCUGGAAAAGCAUACAGGAAUUCCAUAUUCUGCUUCAGUGUCAGUGUGAAGGGAUUGCUUUAGUAGUUCCUCAAUUUUAGAGACUCAAUUCUGUAUUUGACUUCUGAAGAUAACGAGAUACCUUUGUUGUUAUUAUAGUGAUACUUGUAAUUUAAGAAUUUCUUGAUUUUUCAAAACAGAAAAACCCAACCCUGACAGUGCCUUUCCAUUCUUUUAAGGAAUUCUUGAUUCUCUACAUAUGUAGUUUAAAUUUCUAGAAGAUGAAAAAAAAUAGCAAGAGAGGUAAAUUUUUACCUCUGUUUAGUUCUUUGUGUUUUGAGGAUUAUGCUCAGAGAAGAGGGUCUCCGUGCUAUUGCCAAAGGUAUGAUCAUGUAGAAUAUGACAGAACGAAGCAUUAAUACCAUAUCUUGCCAUACAAGAAUGACAAAUGCUGAUCUUAGAAAAAGCUUUUAAAAGCUUUUUAUCUCUGUUAUGCUGAGAUACUUGCUCAAUUGAAGAGGCACAAUCCUAGAAGUUAGUGAUUUUCAGAGUCUCAUCUGUGACCAAGGAGCCUGAAUUCUACUCCUGUUGUGUUUCUGUUGACGCCACUGAGAACAGACUGGGGUCCAAGAAGCCGUAACUAAGAAGGAAGGAAAUGGAAAUGACCUUACAGGACGACUCUGAAUAUUGGACAUUAUUGUGGACUAUUUCUGCACAGUUUUGAUGAUAAACGUUGUCCUGCAUGAAGCAAAAUAGUAAUAACUCAAUCUGAUGGACACAAUUAGUUGUCUUUGUACCUGGUGUGUGUGUGUGUGUUUAUAACAACCACUGUUACUUGUUUAUUACUGUGAUACUUCUAAUGUUAAUUACUAUUAAUUAUUAGUUUAAACAGUACUUCAUCCCAAAAAGGUGUGUAAAAGUGUACAUCAAUCUUAAGCCUGAAAGCAUUGAUGCAAAGAUUCUGAAUUUCCUCCCUCUAUCAUAGAAAGAUAAAAUUUAAGACUUUUAAAAUUCAGGCCAUCACUCGGUUCUGGGCUGUUCUUUCACAACUCAGUAUCACUUAGCUUUUUUUUUUUUCUUUCCUUAAAUGGAUAUUACCUUUACUGCUUUAUGAAAUGUUUACAACAAUGCAAAUCUCACAAAGUACCUCCAAAUUGAAGACACCAAAGCCAAGGUCAUGGUUCUUGCUGAAAAUAGGUAAGAUUUGAUUCUGGCAAAGUUUCAUCUUCAAUUUGUUUAAACGCAACUCCCCAGGCAAAAAUUAUAGUGGCACAGUUUAUAAAGAGCAAAACCUAAAAGACAUGUUCAUUACGAGUAGGUGUAUAAUUUUACAUAUCUGUUUAUAUGUCUUCAUAAUGAUAGUGUCUAAACUCCAACAGUUAUAGCAGUUGAUUCUCAAGAUCUUUAAUCAGAGGCAGUUAUGGCUGCCAUGGUUUGUGUCUCCAGUCCUGAAAAUACUUGGAGGUGGAUACCUGGCGCUACUGCAGAUGAUUACGAGCUUUCAGUGUAGUUUUGAUGCUAUAGAUAUAAAAUUUAAGCUUUAUCUAAUUUUUGGACUGCUAAAAUCAGAAGCAACUUUUUAAAAAAAACAAACACCAAAAACAAAACAAAAAACCCAAACCAACAAAAUCCUAACUGUACAUGUGUCACUGAAGGUACUAUGGCUUAAGAUCAGAAAAUAACAAGAAUAAGAGAAUUAAGGUACUUGUCUCUGACUUGCAUAAACGUUCAGAUGAUGUUUUCAUUUUUUGUACUUUUGAAAUGCUCAUGUGGUAAUAUAAAGGCUAUAAAUCAUUCUUGUGAGCCAAAAUAUCAUUUGCUACUGUCAGAAGACAACUUAACAGUAUUACAACUCUGGUGAGAUUUGAAUGUGUUCCGCGUUCAAUUUUUUUAAUAAGAACUGUAAAUAACAGACCCUUUUGGAGCAUAAUAAAUGAUCCCUUCCAAAGUCUAAUGAUAGGUUA